AGUGAACGCUGGCGGUAGGCCUAACACAUGCAAGUCGAACGGCAGCACAGUAAGAGCUUGCUCUUACGGGUGGCGAGUGGCGGACGAGUGAGGAAUACAUCGGAAUCUACUUUUUCGUGGGGGAUAACGUAGGGAAACUUACGCUAAUACCGCAUACGACCUACGGGUGGAAGCAGGGGAUCUUCGGACCUUGCGCGAUUGAAUGAGCCGAUGUCGGAUUAGCUAGUUGGCGGGGUAAGGGCCCACCAAGGCGACGAUCCGUAGCUGGUCUGAGAGGAUGAUCAGCCACACUGGAACUGAGACACGGUCCAGACUCCUACGGGAGGCAGCAGUGGGGAAUAUUGGACAAUGGGCGCAAGCCUGAUCCAGCCAUACCGCGUGGGUGAAGAAGGCCUUCGGGUUGUAAAGCCCUUUUGUUGGGAAAGAAAAGCAGCAGGUUAAUACCCCGCUGUUCUGACGGUACCCAAAGAAUAAGCACCGGCUAACUUCGUG
rnacentral:rRNA from 1 species